CGGGGUAUAGCUCAGGGGUAGAGCAUUUGACUGCAGAUCAAUAGGUCCCCAGUUCAAAUCUGGGUGCCCUCU
rfam:Callithrix jacchus chromosome 8, whole genome shotgun sequence